AAGAAGACAAAAAAUCUUUAGUGUCCACCGAAACAGAAAGCAUAAAUAGCGGAGAGAAGCAAGAUGAGUUUCAGCAAAUAAAAGGCGAUAAAAAACAUACAUACAUCACUAUUAAUCCAUGAUGAUGAAGCACAAAGCCAACAUGGCAAUGGUGUUUGUACAGAUUAUAUACGCAGGAAUGCCAUUGCUCUCAAAAGUGGCUAUCUCUCAAGGGACCAACCCUUUUGUCUUUGUUUUCUACCGACAAGCCUUCGCUGCUCUGGCGUUGUCCCCUUUCGCAUUCUUCCUUGAAAGCGCCAAAUCAUCUCCUCUGUCGUUCAUCUUGCUGCUGAAAAUUUUCAUGAUCUCCUUAUUCGGACUCACGCUAAGUCUCAAUCUCUACUAUGUGGCCAUCGACAACACCACGGCCACUUUUGCAGCAGCAACCACCAACGCCAUUCCCUCUAUCACCUUCGUAUUGGCUCUUCUUUUCAGAUUAGAGGCGGUGACGUUAAAGAAGUCAUACGGACUAGCGAAAGUAUUUGGUUCGAUGGUUGGUAUGUUGGGCGCAUUAGUGUUCGCCUUUGUGAAAGGGCCAAGUUUGAUCAAUCAUUAUAGCAACACGACCAUUCCAAACAAAGCCGUUCCAUCAACAAAAAAUUCUGUAAAAGGAUCAAUCACUAUGCUUGCCGCCAAUACCUGCUGGUGUUUGUGGAUUGUAUUGCAGAGAUUUGUGACUGAUUGCAAGGACCUGAUUACAAUGAUACAAGAGCCACAAGCUUGGCCCAACUUUUCAACUGAGCUGGAAAUCAUUCAAACUCUUCGGUUGUGCUAUUCGGACUUCAAGAUCAGCUAUUUACCAAGGGCACAAAAUGAGAUUGCAGAUUCAUUAGCUAGGAAUGCACGUUCUUUUCAUAGAUCUCUAUGUUUUAUUGGUUGUUCUAUUCCGAUCUGGCUCUCCAGACCACCUCAAGUUUGAGUAAUAGAAUAGCCGUUUGCUGCAAAAAAAAAAAAAAUUAUUUUAGUAAGGUAAGAGGUAAAAAUGUCAAAAUUUUAAGCAGUUUAAUUAAACGCAUAUAAACUUAGUUCUGAUUUAUAUAUUACAAAGUUUUUUCUAAAAUAUUAAGUUAUCGAAAUUUUCAUCCUUAUAAUUUACUGAAUUUAUAUUCAUUGUGUUUUAUUUUGGUUUGGUUACUUAAACCACUUUGAAUUUGUUGCCAAUUUUUCUUUUUUAAUUUGAGUAAUAAAGUAAUAUGCAGAAAAUAAAUAAUAAGCUAUUUAAAAAAAAUAAUUUAUUUCGAAACCUAAUUCACCCUCCACCACGGUAUGAGAAAAAAAGACUAUUUGUCCAAACUUUUAUGAUUGAUGAUUAUUGGCAACGGAACGGUGAUAUCGUGCGAGUGGGAAGGGAUUGAAUCAUUCAUUCAUCGGAUACGUCUUUUCCGGUUUGGUUAGAUAUUUUACAUAUUAGUAUCAUUUUAUAUGUUGGCUAAAGAUUUUCUUACAUACAUUAAAAAUAUAUUAUUACCGUUUGUACUAUACUAUUUUAUUAAUACGUUAUACAAUUUUAUCCCUCUUACUAAGACAUUGAACUAUUAAGAUGUGAACUGGAACUUUAUUUAAAAUUUUGUAUAAAAUCUAAAAUAUAGUAUUUCAUUUUGAACAAUUAAUCUUGUAGAUAUAUAAUCUAAAAUGGAGAGAGUUUUAUUUACUUUUCCGAACAUUUAAAUAUUUGUAGGAACCGGUCAAUGUCUAUUUUAUGAAAGAAAAAAGAGUUAAGAGUCAAAGCAGAACUUGUAUUUAUCAUUCAUCAUAUAUAAUAAUUAAUCAACAACCUAUCACCUGUGUAUAGGUAGGAAAACAAAAUUACAAGAUUAUUGCAUCUAGGCAAGCGACGUCAUGUAAUAGUAUGGAUAUGUUUUUUACUAAGUAUAAAAAUUGAAAAAUAUUCAUAUCUAUUAUAGAUUCUGAAAAAUAGAUUACAAGUGAUAAAUUCAAGCCCAUACUUUCAAUCUUCAUGGCACUCUCACUCGAAUAUUGGUUAGGCUGGAUGGAUGAACCCACGUAAUUGGUACGAGCAAGGUGAUGAAAGAAUACACAGCGAAGUUGCGAUUGGUAACACUUCAAUGCGUCUUCAGUUGUAUGCAAACCGCAGUUUGGGCAGUCGCAGUGAACAGAAGUCCAUCAGUUUGGAAGAUC